GAAUUACUUUAUUGAAACUUCGGUCGAUUUAAUUUAAUUCUAGUGGCGGACGGGUGAGUAACGCGUGGGUAACCUGCCUUAUACAGGGGGAUAACAGUCAGAAAUGGCUGCUAAUACCGCAUAAGCGCACAGAGCUGCAUGGCUCGGUGUGAAAAACUCCGGUGGUAUAAGAUGGACCCGCGUUGGAUUAGCUUGUUGGUGGGGUAACGGCCCACCAAGGCGACGAUCCAUAGCCGGCCUGAGAGGGUGAACGGCCACAUUGGGACUGAGACACGGCCCAGACUCCUACGGGAGGCAGCAGUGGGGAAUAUUGCACAAUGGGGGAAACCCUGAUGCAGCGACGCCGCGUGAAGGAAGAAGUAUCUCGGUAUGCAAACUUCUAUCAGCAGGGAAGAUAGUGACGGUACCUGACUAAGAAGCCCCGGCUAACUACGUGCCAGCAGCCGCGGUAAUACGUAGGGGGCAAGCGUUAUCCGGAUUUACUGGGUGUAAAGGGAGCGUAGACGGUGUGGCAAGUCUGAUGUGAAAGGCAUGGGCUCAACCUGUGGACUGCAUUGGAAACUGUCAUGCUUGAGUGCCGGAGGGGUAAGCGGAAUUCCUAGUGUAGCGGUGAAAUGCGUAGAUAUUAGGAGGAACACCAGUGGCGAAGGCGGCUUACUG
rnacentral:rRNA from 1 species